rnacentral:sRNA from 1 species
UAUCAUCCGUUCUUGGCUUCGGGAUGGCCUCAAGCCACGCUGCAUAACCCGAGACCUCAAAUGGGGAACCCCUGUACCCUUAGAAGGUUUUGAAGACAAGGUAUUCUAUGUCUGGUUUGAUGCCACUUUUGGCUAUCUGUCCAUCACAGCCAACUACACAGACCAGUGGGAGAGAUGGUGGAAGAACCCAGAGCAAGUGAGCAGUUCUUAGUUAGACUGUGCAUGGGGAGGGUAGGCGGUAGGGUGUGGGUGUUAGGGUUGGGUGUCUGGUCUUCCUUGGGCCUUUGAAGAAGGCCUGAGGAAAUCUCUCCUAACCACAUUCCCCUAGGUGGACCUGUAUCAGUUCAUGGCCAAAGACAAUGUUCCUUUCCAUGGCUUAGUCUUUCCUUGCUCAGCCCUAGGAGCUGAGGAUAACUAUACCUUGGUCAGCCACCUCAUUGCUACAGGUAAGUACCCUGGAAGACUACUGAUGGGGUGUUCAUAGGAAAUGAGGGGUGAGGCAGUACUUGGAAAAAGAUCUUAGAGAGCUGCUGUCUUGAGUUAGGAGUUGAGAUGAA